rnacentral:rRNA from 1 species
CCUACGGGUGGCAGCAGUGGGGAAUAUUGGACAAUGGGCGAAAGCCUGAUCCAGCAAUGCCGCGUGAGUGAUGAAGGCCUUAGGGUUGUAAAGCUCUUUUACCAGGGAUGCAGUACCUGGAGAAUAAGCUCCGGCUAACUCCGUGCCAGCAGCCGCGGUAAUACGGAGGGAGCUAGCGUUAUUCGGAAUUACUGGGCGUAAAGCGUACGUAGGCGGCUUUGUAAGUUAGAGGUGAAAGCCUGGAGCUCAACUCCAGAACUGCCUUUAAGACUGCAUCGCUUGAAUCCGGGAGAGGUGAGUGGAAUUCCGAGUGUAGAGGUGAAAUUCGUAGAUAUUCGGAAGAACACCAGUGGCGAAGGCGGCUCACUGGCCGCAUUGACGCUGAAGUACGAAAGCGUGGGGAGCAAACAGGAUUAGAUACCCGAGUAGUC